CAGCAGCCGCGGGAAUACGAAGGGUGCAAGCGUUACUCGGAAUUACUGGGCGUAAAGCGUGCGUAGGUGGUGGUUUAAGUCCGUUGUGAAAGCCCUGGGCUCAACCUGGGAAUUGCAGUGGAUACUGGGUCACUAGAGUGUGGUAGAGGAUAGUGGAAUUUCCGGUGUAGCAGUGAAAUGCGUAGAGAUCGGAAGGAACAUCUGUGGCGAAGGCGACUAUCUGGGCCAACACUGACACUGAGGCACGAAAGCGUGGGGAGCAAACAGGAUUAGAUACCCCAGUAGUCCCUGUCUUUAUACA
rnacentral:rRNA from 1 species